AGUGAACCGGGAUGAGCUCAAAUUUAAAAUCUGGCGUCUUUCAGGCGUCCGAGUUGUAAUCUAUAGAGGCGUUUUCCGCGCCGGACCGCGUCCAAGUCUCUUGGAAUAGAGUAUCAAAGAGGGUGACAAUCCCGUACUUGACGCGACAACCGGUGCUCUGUGAUACGUUCUCAAUGAGUCGAGUUGUUUGGGAAUGCAGCUCUAAAUGGGUGGUAAAUUCCAUCUAAGGCUAAAUAUUGGCGAGAGACCGAUAGCGAACAAGUACCGUGAGGGAAAGAUGAAAAGCACUUUGGAAAGAGAGUUAAACAGCACGUGAAAUUGUUAAAAGGGAAACGAUUGAAGUCAGUCGUGUGAAAGGUAUUCAGCCGUCUCUGGCGGUGUAUUUGCCUUUCACGGGUCAACAUCAGUUUGAUCCGGUAGAAAAAGGCGGGAGGAAGGUGGCACCCUCGGGUGUGUUAUAGCCUCCUGUCAUAUGUGCCGGACCAGACUGAGGAACGCAGCUUGCCGCAAGGCCGGGGUUCGCCCACGUACAAGCUUAGGAUGUUGACAUAAUGGCUUUAAACGA
rnacentral:rRNA from 1 species